GAAAACAUUCAUUCUCCACAAAGAUGUGGAAAUCGUUGGUGUUGUGUCUUGCGCUCUCCGCACUUUCCAUCUCGUCCACAAAACCGUUCAGAAAGUCAUUGCGAUGGUGGGACAACAGCAUCAUCUAUCAAGUUUACCCUCGUAGUUUCAAGGACAGCAAUGGCGACGGCGUCGGCGAUCUCAAUGGAAUCACCAGCAAACUCGAGCACAUCGCGGAAAUCGCCGAUACGUUUUAGAUUUCGCCGAUAUUUUAUAGUCCCCAACGAAACUUUGGCUAUGACAUCUCAAACUACACAGCCAUACAUCCUGAGUACGGUACGCUACAAGAUUUUGAUCGUCUUGUAGCUAAAGCCAAACGUUUGGGAUUGAGAGUUUUGUUGGAUUUCGUGCCGAAUCACACUUCGGAUGAACACGGAUGGUUCAAGAAGAGCAUCAAAGGUAUUCCGCCCUACGACGAUUAUUACAUCUGGAAGGACGCCAAGGUAGGACCUAAUGGCACUAAAUUGCCUCCAAAUAAUUGGUUGUCAUUCUUCACCGGCAUGGGGAUGGAACGAAGAGCAUGGACAGUACUACUACCACAAUUACGCAUUUCACAACCAGAUCUGAACUACCGCAGCCCAAAGUUACGAGAGGAGAUGCAGAACGUUUUAAAAUUCUGGUUGGAUCGCGGCAUUGAUGGAUUUCGUGUAGACGCAAUCGCUCACUUGAUCGAAGACAAAGAAUGGCGGAACGAACCCAGAUCCAAUCAAGAUGUUCUACCCAACGACUACAAUUAUCUCGAACACAUCUAUACCCGGGACCUGAAUGAAACCUACGACGUUGUCAGUUCAUGGAGAAAAUUCUUCGACGAGUACUCCAAGGUUAAUGGAGUCGACAGAAAGGUGCUACUGAUGGAAGUUGGUUCCAAGUUAAAUUUCACUUUAAAGUACUACGACAUUGAUGUAGAUCCCUUCAACUUUGGAUUCGUUCACCAUCUGAAUAAUGACUCCACGGCGUUGGACGUUGGCAAAAGCGUUGAAAAUUGGAUGCAGAAUAUGCCCAAAGGUAAAGUGGCCAACUGGAUUGUAGGCAAUCAUGACGUUCACAGAGUCGCAUCCAGAUUCGGCUACGCCAACAACAGGGCCGAUCAGAUGUCGAUGCUGUCUAUCGUACUACCAGGGAUUACCAUCAUCUACAACGGCGACGAGAUUGGUAUGGUGAACAGAUUUUUCACCUACAAAGAGACCGUGGAUCCAGCUGGCUGCAACGCAGGUCCUGAAAGGUACCAGCUAAAGUCCAGGGAUCCAGAGAGGACACCUUAUCAGUGGGAUGACACAGCGAGUGCCGGAUUUUCGACAAAUCCCAAAACCUGGCUGCCAGUACACGAUAAUUACAAGUCUCUAAAUCUAGCUGCACAGAAGAAAGAAGAAGUUUCGCACUUCCAGGUCUUUAAAGCCUUGUCCAAAUUAAAGAAACUACCAAUUAUGACUAAAGGAUACUACAAGACUCUGCUCAUCAAAGAUAACGUGUUAGCUAUCGUCAGAUAUUAUCCUGGACAAGACACUGUUGCAUUAUUUAUUAAUUUUAGUGAUCAGGACGAAGCAAUAAUUGAUCGAUGGCUAAUCAAUCCAACUGAAGAAACGACUGUCGUCGUAGCAAGCGUUAAAUCUGGACUGAAAACUGGUGACCCCAUCAGUGCGAAGAAAUUUGUGAUUCCUGGUUCUGCCUCCGUGAUUACUUCUUCGCGAAAAUUAGUGUCAAGUUUAUUCAACACAGUAUAAUCAACAUUUAUUUUGUUACUGUGACAAUAUUAUAUCAAUACAAUUAACGUGAUCUUGUAUAA